GAGAUUCAACCCUCCCAGUUCCCCCUGGAUGCUCCCUCAGGUGAAUCCAGGUGCCUCGGAGGCUCAUUUUAAGGGCAUUAAGGGGGUUCUUUACAAUUUGCUCCCCACCCUUGCUCUUCCUACGGACACAGAACAAACUUCCAGGAUCCUGGAACAGCUGAGGAUGGUAUCCAGCCCCCCUCAGCCCCUGGAGGACCCUGAUCCCUCAGAGGUCCCUCAACCCUCGGAGAUCUCGCAGCCCCUGGAGGACCCUGAUCCCUCG
rnacentral:lncRNA from 1 species